UACGAAGGGUGCAAGCGUUACUCGGAAUUACUGGGCGUAAAGCGUGCGUAGGUGGUUUGUUAAGUCUGAUGUGAAAGCCCUGGGCUCAACCUGGGAAUUGCAUUGGAUACUGGCAGGCUAGAGUGCGGUAGAGGAUGGCGGAAUUCCCGGUGUAGCAGUGAAAUGCGUAGAGAUCGGGAGGAACACCAAAGGCGAAAGCACUCUGCUGGGCCGCGACUGACACUGAGAGACGAAAGCGAGGGGAGCAAAUGGG
rnacentral:rRNA from 1 species